AGACCUCCUGGAGUCUGAGAGCGGCCCACAGCUGAUCUCCAGGGGCCUGUGUGUCUCAGCCAGCGGCUGGCCCAGAAGCUCCCGAGCCAAGUCACGCUGCUGGCCUUCCAGGGGACGCACUGCUGGAGCAGAUGAGCGUCAUCGGGGGAACCUCACCGGCAUCUUCGUCCACCGCAUCACCCCUGGCUCAGCGGCCGACGAGAUGGCCUUGCGCCCAGGCAGCCAGAUCGUCACGGUUAUAAGAAGCUGGUCCAGGACCUGGAGGCCAAAGUGACCACCUCAGGGGACUCCUUCUACAUCCGGGUCAACCUGGCCCUGGAGGGGAGGGCCGAGAGGGAGCUGCCGGUGCACUGCGGCAACAUCCUGCACAUCACCUUACACCAUGUUCCAGGGCCCCGGCUGCUG